rnacentral:rRNA from 1 species
GGGGAACCGCCUGAACUGAAACAUCUAAGUAGGGCGAGGAAGAGAAAUCAACCGAGAUUCCGCUAGUAGUGGCGAGCGAACGCGGAAGAGGCCAAACCGGAGGUAGCAAUAUUUCCGGGGUUAGGACUGCAAUAUGUAACUUUAAUCUUUAACUGAAUGCUUUGGGAAGAGCAGCGAUACAGGGUGAUAGCCCCGUAAGUGAAAAGGAUUGAGUGCUAGCAGUAUCCAGAGUACCAGCGGACACGUGAAACCCGCUGGGAAGAUGGGGGGACCAUCCUCCAAGCCUAAAUACUACUCAGUGACCGAUAGUGGAGCAGUACCGUGAGGGAAAGGUGAAAAGUACCCCGGGAGGGGAGUGAAAGAGAACCUGAAACCUUGUGCCUACAAGCACCGAGAGCACGUUAAAGUGUGAUCGGGUACUUUUUGUAGAACGGUCCGGCGAGUUAAUAUUUGCAGCGAGGUUAAGUAACUGGAGUUACGGAGCCGCAGCGAGAGCGAGUCUGAAUAGGGCGUAUGAAGUUGCAGGUAUUAGACCCGAAACCGGGUGACCUAUCCAUGAGCAGGCUGAAGCGGUGGUAAGACACCGUGGAGGGCCGCACCCACGUCUGUUGAAAAAGCCGGGGAUGACUUGUGGAUAGCGGAGAAAUUCCAAUCGAACUCGGAGAUAGCUGGUUCUCCCCGAAAUAGCUUUAGGGCUAGCGUUAUUUUAGAUUACCGGAGGUAAAGCACUGAAUGGUCUAGGGGCCGCGAGGUUACCAAAGCCUAUCAAACUCUGAAUGCCGGAUAAUUGAUGAAUAGCAGUCAGACUGUGUGAGAUAAGUCUCAUAGUCAAAAGGGAAACAGCCCAGAUCUACAGCUAAGGUCCCAAAUGAACACUAAGUGGAAAAUGAUGUGAAACUGCGAAGACAACCAGGAUGUUGGCUUAGAAGCAGCCACUCAUUCAAAGAGUGCGUAAUAGCUCACUGGUCGAGUGGUUUUGCGCAGAAAAUGUAACGGGGCUAAGUGUUCAACCGAAGCUUAGGCAUUGCAGUAAUGCAUUGGGUAGGGGAGCGUCGUAUGCGGGGCGAAGUCAGAGCGGAAGCACUGGUGGACUGCAUACGAGUGAGAAUGCCGGAAUAAGUAGCGAGAAUUAUGUGAGAAUCAUAAUGGCCGAAAAUCUAAGGUUUCCUGGGGAAGGUUCGUCCGCCCAGGGUUAGUCGGGAGCUAAGCUCAGGCCGAAAGGCGUAGGCGAUGCACAUACGGUAGAAAUUCCGUAACCACCGAACUUUAAGCUAGAGGGACGCUUUCUUUAAGGUUAUCCCGGGCGAUGGUUGCCCCGGGCGCAAGGGACCGAAAUUUAGUAGGGAAGUAACUGGCGAGAGAGACGAGAAAAGCUCUAGUGUAUACUAAGGUGCCCGUACCGCAAACCGACACAGGUAGAAGGGAUGAGUAUUCUAAGGCCAACGGGAGAAGGGUUGUUAAGGAACUCGGCAAAUUGGCCCCGUAACUUCGGGAUAAGGGGCGCCUGCGAGAGCAGGCCGCAGUGAAAAGGCCCAAGCGACUGUUUAGCAAAAACACAGCUCUCUGCUAAAUCGAAAGAUGACGUAUAGGGGGUGACGCCUGCCCGGUGCUGGAAGGUUAAGGGGAGUGCUUAGCGCAAGCGAAGGUGCGAACUUAAGCCCCAGUAAACGGCGGCCGUAACUAUAACGGUCCUAAGGUAGCGAAAUUCCUUGUCAGGUAAGUUCUGACCCGCACGAAUGGCGUAACGAUUUGGGCACUGUCUCAACAGCCCGCCCGGCGAAAUUGUAGUACCGGUGAAGAUGCCGGUUUCCCGCAACUAGACGGAAAGACCCCAUGGAGCUUCACUGUAGCUUGAUAUUGGACUUCGGUAUUCCAUGUACAGGAUAGGUGGGAGGCUAGGAAGCGAGCGCGCCAGCGUUCGUGGAGCCGCCCUUGGGAUACCACUCUUGGGAUAUUGGAGUUCUAACCUGCGACCAUGAAUCUGGUCGGGGGACAUUGUCAGGUGGGCAGUUUGACUGGGGCGGUCGCCUCCAAAAGAGUAACGGAGGCGCUCAAAGGUUCGUUCAGCACGGACGGAAAUCGUGCACUGAGUGUAAACGCAUAAACGAGCCUAACUGCGAGAAUGACGGUUCGAGCAGUAACGAAAGUUGGAGUUAGUGAUCCGGCGGUAUGUGAAUGGAAAUGCCGUCGCUCAACGGAUAAAAGCUACCCUGGGGAUAACAGGCUGAUCUCCCCCAA